CAAUCAAGAAAAACUAAAACCAAAUGCAUAAGCUAUUCUCAGAAGCUCACUUUCCGUUCAAACGCUCAACCCAUUCGAACCUCAUAAGCCAAACGAAAAUCUCAAAAGAUUCAAUCCGUUGGAACCCUUAAUCUUCUGCAAACUUUCGAAACUCCGAAAUCUUCAACCCACUUGAAAAAUCAUAAUUCUUCAACCCAUUCGAAAAUCUCAAAAGCUUCAACCAAUUCGAACCAAUUCGAAUCUCAGAACCCCUUUGAAACUCAUGCAGAAACCAUUCGAAUCCUCAACCCAUUUGAAACCCUUUUGAUUGCUCGCACAUGUUUCUGUAUUCUUCCCGACCUUAUGAAGGUUUUGGUUUUUCUCCUGUUCAUUAAAUCUUAAAUUUAUUGUGACUUUGAGGAGAUUCUUGAAGAAAUUUCAGAGUGAGAUAGCUAAGCAGAUGCAUUUUGAGUUCAUCACACCAAUGAAAAGCAUGUUGUUCAAGUACUCUUGUAGUUGCCGAAAAACGUAUUUAUGACAUAGAAGGACACGACCUCGACGGUGAUGGAGCGCCAUUACCAACACCAAUAUCACUACUAAAAGAGCCCUUUGUGAGUUAUUCUGAGCUUGUUUCCUUUUCAAUUUUUUUGUUUCUUACGAAGUUUUUUUUUUGUCAAAUCCCUAACUUUGUGAUGGUUUAUUUCAGUGUUUUUUCAACUCUCAGUAGGUGAAGAUGUUUUUGAUUUUUGAAAAGAAGAAUCGGUUUCUACAAGCAGCUAAUGCUGAUUUGAAAUGGAAAUUUUGGAUCAGUUCCUUUUCGUUCAUUCUUGAUUUUCAUUGAUUGUAUAACUGUAAUAGGUUGUUUUUGAGGCAAUUGGAAACUGGCUUGAAUUAUAAAAUGAUGAUGAUUUUUGUUAUUUUAAGUUUUCACUUUUAAAUGCUUUGGGAUAGAUUUAUGUAACCAAUGACACUAAGACUUAGCUCCUAUCAACCUUGGAAUGGUCAUAGAUAGAAUUCUAGUUCUAGAUUUUAGAUAAUUGCAUUUCCCUGAUAUACAUAUUUUUAUGCAUUUAUCAGUCACUAGUCAUUAUGAUGGAAAUCCACUUUAUAAUAGGACCAAGGAACAACAAUAAGAAGAAAUUGACUUCUAGUAGUGGGAAGAAUUCUUGAUAAAUUGCAGAGAAAGAAGUUUCCAAAAUUGCAAAUAAAGGAACGACAACUUGUGUUGGAAGCUGGUGUAGCAGUAAUACUGUCUGCUAGGGAAAUAUGUUAUCUUAUUUCAAUCUUAUUUGUUGACUGUUUUAGCACACUCUUGAUUAGUAGAGUAAAUGGUGGGUGCCAAGCUUAUUUCAAGCUUAUUUGAAUAUUGUCUGCAAAGUUUUUGUUGAUUUCAAUUUCUUUGGUGUUCGUUCAUAUUUUCUAAGACAUUGGUUAUAGAUUUUAUUUCUUUAUUUAAACAUCUCAUUUACUUCUGUCUUGUUGCAGUAAAAAAUGGAGUAUACAUAAUGCUUGUAAAGGAUGCUGGAGAUGCUUUUGGACGAAGUCGUUUUGUGAAGAUUGACUGCAAGGGAUUAGAUCCUGGUGAUUACAAGAAAUUAGGUUCCAAACAUAAGGUAUGUGCUUGUUGGUUGAGGAAAUGUCACAUGAGAGCAUCCAACAAGUAUUUGUUUCUACGAGCUUUGUUUUUAUCUUCAUCAGGAACAUUAAUAAAAAGUUGCUGUUAAUACGUCUCAUAAUAUUUUUCCUGCCAAGAAAGAACAUGUAAUUUUGAAGUUUGAAAAGAGUGGAAUACAUAUUCAUGGACUACUCAUAUACACUCAAUGUCUUAUAAGCUUUUGUCAGUAUUUGACAAGCUUUGAUGUUAAACCAACAUGUGGCAUGCAGGAACUUCAUUUCAUUGUUGAUGUGUGCAAUUUACCAAGAAGUAUAUGGAUAUUCAGAGUUGAGUUUGUGGUGUGUCUUGCCAGGUUAAUCAUCAAUUUUGUAGCCUUCAAUGAGGCUCGGCAAGUUGAUACAUCUAAAGCAAAAAAUAAAUAAGAAGAAUAUUGAUGAUAUGGACGAAGAAUUUCAAGAUUUGGAAGAACAAGAUGAAGAUAUAUAAAUUUGGUGCUUGUUUUUUUGUUUUCCUGAUGGAUAUUGGUGGUCACUUUGAAGAUGUUAUAUUGAAUGUGAUUAAUGAUAAUUGUCAUUAUCUCUAAGGGUAUUCAUUAGAAAUCCAAAAAUAUUAUUACGUAUGUAAUUGUGUAAAUGUUACUUUCAUUGUGAUCAAUGAUGAUCGACAACUAUUUCAUUUUCUGUAAU